rnacentral:rRNA from 1 species
AACAAACGCUGGCGGCGUGCCUAAUACAUGCAAGUCGAACGGGGAAAGCUUUCGGGUGAGUACUAGUGGCGCACGGGUGAGUAACGCGUGGAUAAUCUGCCUUAGAGUGGGGGAUAACUAGUCGAAAGAUUAGCUAAUACCGCAUAAGACCACAAGAACUGCGGUUCAAGGGGUCAAAGGUUUUUCGCUCUAAGAUGAGUCCGCGUAAGAUUAGCUAGUUGGUAGGGUAACGGCCUAACAAGGCGACGAUCUUUAACUGGUCUGAGAGGAUGAUCAGUCACACUGGAACUGAGACACGGUCCAGACUCCUACGGGAGGCAGCAGUAGGGAAUAUUGCACAAUGGAGGAAACUCUGAUGCAGCGACGCCGCGUGAGUGAUGAAGGCCUUCGGGUCGUAAAGCUCUGUCGCAGGGGAAUAACACAAUGAAGGUACCCUGUAAGAAAGGAUCGGCUAACUUCGUGCCAGAAGCCGCCGUAAGAC